CUUUGACUUUGAUGAAAAAUUUUCAGUUAAAAUGGAUUGGUCGUACCUAU
rnacentral:tRNA from 1 species